rnacentral:rRNA from 1 species
UACGUAGGGCGCAAGCGUUAUCCGGAAUUAUUGGGCGUAAAGAGCUCGUAGGCGGUUUGUCGCGUCUGCCGUGAAAGUCCGGGGCUCAACUCCGGAUCUGCGGUGGGUACGGGCAGACUAGAGUGAUGUAGGGGAGACUGGAAUUCCUGGUGUAGCGGUGAAAUGCGCCAGAUAUCAGGAGGAACACCGAUGCGAAGGCAGGUCUCUGGGCCGACUACUGACGCUGAGAAGCGAAAGCAUGGGGAGCGAACAGG